CUGCCCCGCCAUUGGACCCGCGGGGCGGGGACGGGGGAAGUGGGCGUUGCCGCGGCGCCGCGCCGUGAGGAGGGAGGGUAAUUUGUAGCCUUUAAACCUUUUGCAUGCUAUAAGGCAGAACAAGAAGGCACAUGGACCCCUCACCUUUUUACACAACACAGGGAGGACAAGCAGUUCUUUAAAGAUGGAAGUUAUUAUGAGGGCAAGUUUGUCAAUGGAGAAAUUACAGGGUGUGGAUUUCAAUACUAGGCGUUGACAGCAUCCUGAGUAGGAAGAAGUUUGUUGACUAAAGAUCCGUCCCAGUAAGUUGCUCCAGAAAAGAAUUUCUCCUGUUUCUGCUUAUUCCUGACCAGGGAGCACUUACUCUGGUCAGUUUGUGUUUGGAAAGCUCUGUGGACACAAAGUAUCACAAGAUAAAGAUGGUGGGAAAGAUGAAGGAGAGUUCCUCUAUGGAAUAAGAGAAGGAGUCAGGACAAUGAUGAAGGAGCCUGGACUCUUGUCAAUGCCACGGUCAUGGAAUAUUGCCUUGUUGGAACAGUAUAUAAGGGCAGUGGAGAAAUGACGUAUUCAAUGAACGGGGCGCUGGAGUUGAUUGUUCUGGUGACAUCUGUGAUGGACUGUGGAUCAAUGGCUACCCUGCUGCAUGUGGAGGUUUUGGAAGAAACCAUGGUGAAGCAGGUGUUUCUGUGCAGCCCAUAAAGAGGACCACAGCGGAACAGAUAUUCACACUGCAGCCCAUGGGGAACCUCAUGCCAGGUGGAUAUUUCCUGAAGGAACUGCAGUGAAUGGAAAGCCCACACAGGAGCACCUUCUCCUGACAGAAACGGUGGCUCGUGGAGGACCUGCACUGGAGCAGGGGAAAAAUCUGUGAAUAGUUGUUGUCUGGAGAUCUGGGCUGGCAUCAGAAACCACCAAAUCCCAUCAAGUUCUGCAACCAACUUAUUUGAGUUAAGUGGAGAAACUGAGAGGGAAACAGACAACUUCUGUCAAUUCUGGAUUUGCACGGGCUGAUUUCCCAGUCCCUAAGGGAGACAGAGCCAGACUCUGGAUCUGACACCCUAUAUGGAGCAGGAGAUGCUUCGAGCAGCCAGCAUGAUUCUUCUCAUCUCUGCUUUUAGAGACAAAUGUUGGCUAACUCUCAAAAUACCUUGGGAGUAACUUAUGCUGAUGGGUAAAUGAUGAGAUCCGUGAGGCUUUCAUGCAUCACUGCCCCCAUAGUAUGGAUAUAAUCAUGCAGUGAUGGAGAAUCAUCCAGUUUUUAUCCAGUAUUGAUGAACUGUCAGUGAAAGAGUUCCAAGAGGUUCUUUGUUUAGUAAUAACAUAUAUGUAGCUAUUGUUUAAAUAUAGAUGUUUUUCCAUAUGUCAAAUAGGUAAUGAGAUGCACACCCAUGAAAGGUUUAUUAGAUGUAAUUUGACUGGAAAGUCUCUUUAGUCGCUAUCUAGUAACAUACAUCUUAGGCUUACAAAUAAAUUUCUAGUAGUUUCAUGAUGUUGCCCAAGCUGGUAAGCUUGGUAUCGAUGUGCCUCUUUGGGUUUUUGUUUUGGUUGUUUGUUUUUUUUUCUUACUACUAGUGAUGUAUUUUUACAUUUUUUCUUUCAGUAUUAAUUAUUUUCCAAGACUUUUUAGAAAAGACAAUAAUAACCGCUUAAAGUAGCAUUAGAUACAUUACUAAAUGGGCUUAGAGUAUCAGUGUUAUCUUGGUAACUUCAGUUUGCUCCACUGAUGGAAGCAAUGCGUGCAUGUUGAAGAAUGUUCUUGAUAUUCGUGAUGUUGUUACAAGACAUCACAGUGUAAUAAAGAAAUUCUAGGCACUGAUAACAGUGACAUAAUGUUGCUAUGUCCAGAUUGUUUUAAUCCUGCUGUUUUACAUUUGCUUCAUAUCAUCACAUUUCUGCUGCAUCAGCUAAAAUAUUUUUCAUAUUUCUGUGUGGAAGAACGUUAUUGUCCUACAUGUCUUAAAUUUAGGGGAAUUUACAAGGCUGAGUAACAAGCUUUCAA